rnacentral:rRNA from 1 species
UACAGAGGGUGCAAGCGUUAUUCGAAAUUAUUGGGCGUAAAGCGCGCGUAGGUGGUUUGGUAAGUUCUGUGUGAAAGCCUCGGGCUUAACCCGGGAAGGUCAUGGAAAACUGCCAAGCUGGAGUGCGGAAGAGGAGAGCGGAAUUCCCAGUGUAGUGGUGAAAUACGUAGAUAUUGGGAGGAACACCGGUGGCGAAAGCGGCUCUCUGGUCCGUUACUGACACUGAGGUGCGAAAGCGUGGGUAGCAAACAGG